CACCGCGGUUAUACGAUAUGCCCAAAUUGACAGCCUUCGGCAAAAAGCGUGGUUAAUUAGCACCAAAACUAAAGUCGAACCCAUCCCAGGCUGUUAAAAGCCUACUAAAUGGGGAAGCCCAACAACGAAGGUGACUUUAAAAUCAAUGAAUCCACGAAAGCUAUGAAA
rnacentral:rRNA from 1 species